GUGGAACUGUGUGACCGUUUUCAGAAUCUUCCUCCAGACCGAAAACAAUCUGCAGUACCUGUUUACUCGGGUCCUCUUACAAGGAGAAGUCUUUCUAUACCUACCUGUAUGGACUCACCCAUGAAAGACACCCUCUGCCACACCUCUUCUCCAGGCCUGAUGCAUUUGGAUGGAAGUGACAGCACCAUCAAGCAUCAAUGAAAGUGUUGGAGAAAAUGAACUUCACUGAUUCCUGAUUAUCUCAGAUAUCCACGUGCCAACCAAAUUGUCAGCACACUGCAGAGUUUUAUCAAGGACCUUAAUUGCAUGUUCAAAGUCUGUCUUCCUUUCUGUGGAGAUUAGUAGACAUGUUGCAAACUGCUGAACUGCUGGGAUGGCUGCAGUGCAUAAAGCAGGCCAGGCUCAGCAAUGGGUUGCAGUGUCAGCUCAAACUGCAGAUACAGCAAUGGAAACUCUUGACGAUGAAGAGACAGUUGUGAGAAGUGGGGGACCCAUUCACGAUCAAAGGAGGGGCAGAGGUAGGAAAGUAGCCAAUUACUGACAUAGGAAGAGCGUAACACCAUAGAUACCAAGUGAGCAUGAACCUUUGCAGUGGUGUCCAACAACUGACUAUGUAACUCAGAGAACAGAAGAUUUAGAACAUUAAUCUUGAGACCCUCUGGAUGAUUAUCACUAAAUGCAAGGUUACCCCAGAAAUUAACGUGUUAUUGCAUUUUUAAAUUUAUUUCAUACAACUCUAAAGAUUUCCUUAAGCUACAGUCUGAGUGGAAAAUAAAACUUACAUCUCUGCUGAAGAGCCCAAUCCACAGUGGGUGAUUAUGAAGGGCAGCCUGAACAGCGAGAAAAGCCUGCUGGAACUGAUCUGUGAUGCUAACCAGCUGCAUCUUGCGAUUUAUGCAUGCAGCCAUUGCAUCAUCCCAGGACAAAUUCUUCAGAAUUACUUCGUAUUGAACAUUUUGAUAGCUGAACGUUUCAUUAAGGAUUUGCUCUGUCUGAUUAUCAGCAGCUCCUAUGCCUAAAUAAGAAAUCCAGUUAUUAGAUGGUUAAACAAUGGAAUACAUUCUAAACUCCCAAUUUCUCUGUAACAAACAGAAAAAACCUGUUUGUAUGCCCCUGGAAAAAAUAUCAAAAAUACUUUCUUAGGAAGUAGACUAUGCUAAUGAUUUUAGUUAGGAAUAAAUAUCUAUAAUGCUUUAGACAGAGAAAAUAUAAAAGCAAAAAAAGCAGGAAGGGCUAUUUUCAGCCACUCUAUUUUUAUCGCUCUCUUUUAACUUGGCUUCACACAUUUUUUUAUACCUGCUAUUUUCAUUUAACUGCUAAAUAAUGUUAAAAAUUUCAUUAAUUGAAUAAAAAACAUAGUCCAUAGCCUCAAUUAAAUACAGCAGCGGGAAAAAAUGACUGCUCUCUGCUGCAAGAUAGCAACUGCUAUACUUAUUCAUUUAUCUCUGUGGAGCCUGUGGAUUUACGCUUAUGCAAAUCCAAUGGGCCAUAAGACUUGUCUAUACAGAUCUCGGUGUACGGCACAGUCCCAGGGUUCCUUACUGCCAUCCACACGUAUAUUGGGAAUUGAUUCUGUUUCCACAUGAACUUAAUUAAUUAUAGAAAAUCCACGUUGAAUAGGGAGGGCUGUAAUUUACUGUUUGUGUUCUUAGCACUGAGUCUCGCCACAGUUAUCAGCAUCAUUCUGAAGGCAGACAGCUCAGUGAUGCGUUGCAAUUGUGGUUAAUAAAAUAUGCAAACGUUCCCAUGGGUGGUAAAUUAAAGCAUGCAAAGCUAGUAACUCCCCCAAAUUUAUACAUAAUAAAUAAAUAUAUUUUUCCCCAAAAAAAGGCAGAAGAAACUUGACAUGGAAGCAUAAAAGGGCACACAGAGAGGAAAAAACACUAUAAAUAAUAAUGUUAAAAUGGCUAAUUGGUAGGCUGACAGAGCCAUUUUUCAAAACACAAGAACAGAGAAAAAUAAUAUACAUCUGGUAUUUACGCACUAUUUCCAGCUUUCAGUAGACCAUAAAAGUGACAAGGCUGAAACGGACUGUUUGAAUUAAGUUGCUUAUGUCUGCUGCCAAAUGCUUUCUCUUAAUAUACAGCUUGUAAAAAAGAACCAUCAGACCAGAAGAGUCACCACAUAUCAAGGGGUACCAAACUGGAAACAAGUUAGUAAGGAAAGUGUUCAUUUCUGAGAGAGAAAAGAAGUAAUUGCUGACAAUGAAUGUCUCAAGAACUUGUGCAAAU